AUUAAUGGAGAGUUUGAUCCUGGCUCAGAACGAACGCUGGCGGCGUGCCUCAUACAUGCAAGUCGUGCGUUAAACCUCUGUAGCAAUACGGAGGCGUAAAGCGGCGAACGGGUGAGUAACACGUGGGCAAUUUGCCUCGAAGCUGGGGAUAAGCCCUCGAAAGGGGGUCUAAUACCGAAUAACAUCCUGGGACGGCAUCGUUCCGGGAUCAAAGGUUCGCAAGAACCGCUUUGAGAUGAGCCCGCGGUCCAUUAGCUUGUUGGUGAGAUAAAAGCCCACCAAGGCUAUGAUGGAUAGCCGACCUGAGAGGGUGUUCGGCCACACUGGGACUGAGAUACGGCCCAGACUCCUACGGGAGGCAGCAGUAGGGAAUAUUGCGCAAUGGGCAAAUGCCUGACGCAGCGACGCCGCGUGGAGGAUGAAGUUUUUCGGAAUGUAAACUCCUGUCAGUGGGGAAGAAUAUUUCGCCUUUGGCGGAACUGACGGUACCCACAGAGGAAGCUCCGGCUAACUCCGUGCCAGCAGCCGCGGUAAUACGGGGGGAGCAAGCGUUGUUCGGAAUCACUGGGCGUAAAGAGCGUGUAGGCGGGCAGAUAAGUCAGACGUGAAAUUUCUCCGCUUAACGGAGAAACCGCGUUUGAAACUAUCUGUCUUGAGUACGGGAGAGGAAAGUGGAAUUCCUGGUGUAGCGGUGAAAUGCGUAGAUAUCAGGAGGAACACCUGUGGCGAAGGCGGCUUUCUAGCCCGAUACUGACGCUGUGGCGCGAAGGCUAGGGUAGCAAACAGAAUUAGAUACUCUGGUAGUCCUAGCGGUAAACGUUGGGCACUAGGUGUUGGUUCCUUAAAGGAUCAGUGCCGAAGCUAACGCAUUAAGUGCCCCGCCUGGGGAGUACGGCCGCAAGGUUGAAACUCAAAGGAAUUGACGGGGGCCCGCACAAGCGGUGGAGUAUGUGGUUUAAUUCGACGCAACGCGAAGAACCUUACCUGGGUUUGACAUCCUGAUGCAAGCCCAAGAGAUUGGGUCCCCCCGCAAGGGGCGUCAGGACAGGUGCUGCAUGGCUGUCGUCAGCUCGUGCCGUGAGGUGUUGGGUUAAGUCCCGCAACGAGCGCAACCCUUGCCCUUAGUUGCCACUCCCCGAGCAAUCGGGGGAGCACUCUAGGGGGACUGCCAGUGAUAAGCUGGAGGAAGGCGAGGAUGACGUCAAGUCCUCAUGGCCCUUAUGUCCAGGGCUACACACGUACUACAAUGGCCGGUACAGAAGGUCGCAAGGCCGCAAGGCAGAGCUAAUCCCCAAAACCGGCCUCAGUUCAGAUUGGAGUCUGCAACUCGACUCCAUGAAGGUGGAAUCGCUAGUAAUCGCGAAUCAGCAGGUCGCGGUGAAUACGUUCCCGGGCCUUGUACACACCGCCCGUCAAGCCAUGGAAGUCAGGGGUACCAGAAGUCGCUGAUCCAACUCGCAAGAGAGGUAGGCGCCGAAGGUAAACCUGAUGACUGGGGCUAAGUCGUAACAAGGUAGCCGUAGCGGAAGCUGUGGCUGGAUCACCUCCUUUCUAA
rnacentral:rRNA from 1 species